ACCUCGUUCAGGAGCCACGGGCCUGAGCACCCAAGAUUAAAUCCUUUUCGGGUUAAAUGUCUUUCUUCUCUGGUUUUUGGACCUCAGAUGCAGAGAGCUGAGUUUCUCAUAUUGAUCAGUUCACAGCACAUUGUCUUCAUUGGUCUAUGCAAAGCCCUCUCUCGUUUUAUUUAUUCUCUUUUAUCUCCUCUCCCUCCAAGUUUCUUCCCCCACCACAGGCAACCAUUCUAAUGUACUUGCUAUAUAUACAGUGUAUACUUGUGUUUAUAUGCAUUCUUGUAAAAAUGCGUUCUGCUGCUAUGUAUGCCUGCAUUUUGAUUUUAUGUGAAUGCAUUGUGCUCUAGACUCACUCUGUUUGUUUUUUACUUCAUCCACGUGGCUUUGGGUCCAUCCAGUCUGUUGUUCCUGACUGCCACAGACUAUUCCAGCCUGCGGUUCCACCACGUUUUCCCCAUCCACCCCCUCAGUCCUGUUCACCCACACUCUUUCCAGCUCCCCAACACCACAGCACUGUGAGAGCCAUCCUUGCAUAGGUCCCCUUGUGCACCUGUAUGAGAAUUUUUCUGGGAAAAGUACCCUCUCUGGUCUAUUAGCUAUUUAUUUUAGGUCUUGUUACUUAUGUGUUUUUGCAUAAUGGAUACUUUCACACUAAUAUAUACCAAAAAGAAAAAUCCAAGUGAUUCUUAUAACAUAUUGACUAUAGUAGUGAGACCCAAACAACAUGCAUGAGUGGCUAUAGCAAACAAUCUAACACACCGUGAAUGCCAUGGAAAAGGCUGGGAAUCUUGGCAUCUCAGUGUCAUUUAAUCCUGAUACUCUGUCCGGCUGUGGUCUCUAGCAGGACUGCUGGAUCACCUUAAAUGAAAUCUCAGUGAAAUUUAACUGUUUCUUGACUUGUUCAAAAAUAUGAUUGAGUUAGAGUUCCAACUCCUGUGGAUCUUAGCUGAAAUUCUUACAAGUUUUUUCCAAAAAAGGCAAAGACUAAAUCUGGUUCAAGAAAUCAGGUUCUAUGCAUUAAACCUAAUCUCUGCUGAUAAAACUAGGCAGGAUCAGACAUUCUAGUUUGGGAAAGAAUGAAAUUUUGCCAAAACUCUGCUUGUUACAAUCAGCAUAAUAAGCUGAAUGGAAUGUUUAGAGAAGAGCUCAGCAUUUAAUUGGCAAAUAUCUUGAGUGAUAGUUGUUGACUGAAAAUUCUUUGUACAGUAGCCAUGUUAUGUAAUGCACUGAUAUUUCUGAUAUUUCCAAACCAUUUCUGUGCUUUAAAGCAGUUGUUACUUUAGCAAAAGUAUUUAGGUUAAUGCUGAGACUUGUGGUAGUUUUUCUUCUUGAUCAGAAGCCUCAAAUAUUAUUGGGCAUUUACUCUCUAACUAGUAAAGAGUAGCAGUUAAUAUUGCAGGCUACUUACUAGUUCUGUCACUUAGGGCAAGACGCUUAUCCUCUCUGUGCCUCAGCUUCCUUGUCCGAAAGACUGAGAUGGUGGUAGGACCUGCUUUUUGGUGGUGGUGUGAGAAUUAAAUGGGAUAGCACACACAAGAUGCUUUGCACAUAGUAGGCCCUACAGCAUCAUAUGCCCUGGAGGUACUCAGCGCGUAUCCUGGUGAUGAUUUAUGCAGAUAUCCUGGUCAGAACUGGGACAUUUCAAGGUCAAGCAAUUUCUUUUACUUUAUGGGACUAUCCUCCAUUAGCUAGUCCCAUAGCAAUGCUCUCCUGCCCUCUGACUCCUUGUGUCCCCAGGCAACUAAAGCACACAGACUUCCUUCACUCACCCGUUCCUAUAGACAGCCUGUUCUUUAUGUGCAUUUGUUUUGUCUACCCAACUAGAUUGAAAUUGGAGGGAAGUGAUGGUGUCUUCUAGUUCCUUUGAAUCUCAGAAAGCCCUUGGCAAAUUCAAGGACACACAAUAGAGUAGUAGAAUGUUUCUUUCUGUACAAAUUUACAAAGUCCCUUUGAAAUUUUGCUAGCAUGAGAAUUGUACUUUCUUAACAUUUUUUAAAGGUAUGAAUGAAAUCUGAACAGUGUACCUUUUCUUUCCCCCUCCCUAGAGAAGUGAGGCUCGUGUUUUUCUGUAGCCAGCUUUAGCCAAUUACUCCAUGGUAUAGUUCCUUUCUCUCCAAAGCUCCCAUCAGGGUCAGCGUGGAUUUGCUUUCGACACAGACGGAUCUUCAGUCCUAUUACCUUUUCCAUGAAGGGACUUCCUGUUGAAGUAACUGAGCAGCACAAACCCUUUUGAGUGUGUGUGCGAAUGUGUGUGCAUGUGUGUGUUCGUUUAAAAAAACCACACUUCCCUUUUACACUGGUUUUUCAGCCUCCCAGUGGUCACAUACCAUCACAGGUCAAUUUCCUUCAUUAUUAGGCAACAUUAUGACCCUUUACAGGUGGGAAGUUGGACGCUUUCCAGUUGCUUCCCUCAGCCCGUAACUGAUUCAUGUAGCUUUCUGACAUUCAAGUUUAAAUGUAUUGUUUCCGUAAACAGGAGCAAUACUUUUCACUUGGGGACAUGGCCUGCAUGUUCUUAUAUGCUGCUCCCUCUUACUGCACAAACUCAUUUCUGCAGACCAUCAUUGUUCUUUCUGGAAAGAAUGUUUUCCCUUCUGAAGGAUUUUUUUCCUUCGCAGACCCAUUGGGUGCUGCUGGUGAUUUGGGGGAUUUUAGUUCUAUAUUUCUAUGUUCAAGGAAUUUUUAUAAACACCAUCACCACCUCUCCCUUUUAACUUCAAUAUUAAUUUUUAUUUUACUUCCUUAGUUUUUACCUUACCUUGUCUCAGAAAGGACGUAUGAUGGCUACUUGAAGAAAAAUGUUCCUUCCUCACAUCAUUUGUUCAAUAAACAAAUGCUAUACUCUGUAAGUUUCUAAUCAGUGAUCUCAUUCAUCCUCUCAAGAUCUUCAAUCUCAUCCUCUCUUGAGCAGAAACCAGAAGUCCAGCAGGUGAUGACUGUGGGGCUAAGAGAAGGCAGGAUGGGAAGGAGCAAAGUGACCAGAUGUGACUCCCUUUGUGCUUAGAGACUUAAUUGCCUGCUUCUGAUCAAGCUUAUUCCUAACCAAAGCCCUUGGCUGAAUAAUGUUCACUCUCAUUCUCAUUAAGGCAGGAGGCCAGAUCAGUUGAUGUCUUCAUCUCCUUCUCAGCACUGACUCAAUUCAUCCUGAAGCCCUCGCAGGAAUACCUGGGCAAGGAGGUGGAGGCACAGAGAAGUUCCAGAACUUCCCUAAGAUCAUACUGUUGAUCACUGAUCUUCAAAUUGCACUCCUCAGACGCCUGCAGGUUCAGCCAAGAAAGAGCACUUUCCUUAAGGCUCAGAACAGACCCGGCCUGAGUAACCCACUACCAUCUUGGAGCUGGAGGGCAAUGGCAGGCCCAGACCCAUCAACUCUGCCCCAGUCCUCUCCUGGGAACUUCAAGGGGGAGAAAGAAUGAAGAAAGAAGAUGACACAAAGUCAAACCAAGACCACAAAGGUGCUAGAGCUUCUAAUCUCCUUGCUCUUUACCCUGUAAGUUUACCGUGAUCACUGGGACCUAAGAAGGUCAUUGACCUGACCCAUAUCAACCAUCUUGUGCUCAGAGAGAAUGGAGAAGCAGCUCUGAAGUGCUGCAGCUGGAGACGGCAUCUGAGCAGCAGGACUCUACAUCCCAGACAGUCAGAAGUGCGUUCCUUACCGCCCUGAACCCUUGUUACCCACUGAGUGUCAGGCAUUUGCUGUGUAUGAAGAUUCUAAUACAGAAUCUUUGCUGCAUCCUUUGAAGGGUACCUAUCAUUGUCUUCCUUUUAUAAACGGAGAAACUAAGACUCACAGAGAUGGAGGAAUUUGCCCAAGGUCGGAUAGUGUGGGAUGUUAGCUCCGAAGCCCCGCUCUUACUUUUGCAAUAUAUUUCCACCUGAGUGGAGGGUGUGUGAGCAGAGAUGAACAGAAACUUCUAGGAAGCAUUUCCUGCCUGAGCCAAAGAUAACUCCAACCUUUCUUUGUCAUCCAAGAACAUCAUUGUGAAUGCCCUCCAUUGAAAUGCAUUAUAAUUCAGUCACACUCCUUGCAGUAUGUGAUCCUGUUCGCCCCUACACCAAAUGUCCCCAACCAGCUGUGUAUUUACUGGUGGUUUUCUUUCUGGCACUGCUGGCUGCCAUCUGUGUUUCUCAGCAGCUUCCACUCUUUUCAGUCCCUUCACGCGCAGCCACUGUGAGCGGGCCUGAGGAUGGCUCUGCUUUUCCUAUGAGUUCAUGGGAGCUUUUAGCUGCUCAAAGACCUUUCCUCUGAUUUCAGUAUUCAUAGCUAUGCUCUGAUCGGCUGGAGUCACCAAAUACCUGAUUUCAGCAUCACAGAGGUACUUCUUAUCAACAGCUUACUAAUCAAAUUGGGCUGUCAUAUUCAACUGUGUAUUACUUAAACUUUUAAUUUUAGAUUUACAGAAAAGCUGCAAAGCUAGUACAGAGCCGCCCUGUACUCUUCACCCAGCUUCUCUUCAUGCUGUCACCUUAUAUAACCACCGGACAUGUGGCAAAACUAAGAGAUCAAGAUCGUUUGCAUAUGUACUUUUAAUAUGCUGCAGGAUGUCAACACUGUGCUAUAUAACAGAUAUGCUGGUCUUCUAGAUGAUCUCACCUGUGUACAACAGUCUCGGAGGCCAGUUUCCUCUUGAUGCCUCAGGUCGUGAAGCUCUUUGUGAAAAGGUAUUCUAUUUCCCUCUGUCCCACUGGACAGUUUACAGCUGUUGCAAAUCCAAACCUUUGAUCUUGUUAGUUUUUAUUUUAGAGCUGAAUUAAGAGAAAGGAUGAAAUGUACUUACAGCAAAAUAGCAGCUAAGUACAUAAUUUCACUAGCACUGGUUUGAUUUGUAUAUCAGGUCCUCAGGUGUGUGCCCAUGGGUAAAUACUAUUUACUUGACUAAUUAUGAAGAGUAAAUGUCUCAGUUGCUGCUGCAUUCAUUUCAUUUUACCCAGUGGAUAAAAUCCAUCCUGAAAUUUCUCUCUUCCACAGAUUUCAGAAAACUCAAAUACGGCCAUAGUGAAAUGUGAUUAUUUCUAAGGAGAACUGUUAGAGUGAGACCACUGUUACCAGUUCUUAUGUAGCAUCUGUGUACCAACUAGAUAAUACAAACAUAGACAACAAGAAGGCUUAAGAGAGAACAGAAGGAGUGAGGGGAAGAGAGAAGAAGAGUUAUUUUAAAGUCAUUGAAUCAGAAAAGAAAUCAGGAAUGAAGACACACAGCAAUGAACUUGUAAGAAAUCCAGGUGGCAGAAAAUGAGGAAAGAGGAAAACCAGGAGACUUUGUGAUCCUAGGUCAGGUCCCCUGGAAUCAAAUUCUGAGAUGGAGAUUUGGGAAGAUCUCAGGAAUAGCACCUUUAAGGAAGUGAGGGAAAGAGGAGUGGGCAGAGGGGGAAAUUCAAACGUGAUGCUGCUGCAACAGAAGCCUCGGCCCCUCCAGUCCAACUGAGGGCUCUGGAGCUGGGAUGGUCCUUUAGAGUUUUCCCAAAUUGAGGCAGGGGGGCUGGUCUUUGCACCCUCACAUUAAUCAAUGCUUGCACAUGGCCUAUCACUGGGAAGGGGCAUAAGUUUGGGCAAGGCAGUUUGCCCAUCUAAGGGCAAUUUCUGGAGAUGGACUGAGCCCCAAGAUGUCAACCAUCAAUGCUCCUGACAAUUGAGAGAAGGAGCUUCUUGGCCCCGCCAAGGGAAUCUGGAUAGCACACCAGAGCAUCUACUACAUAUGGUAUCCUCAAACCAAGAGAAGAGAAUGUUUCAAGAAAGGAGUGGUCAAAUGUAGGGAAUAUUCCUGAAAGGUUGGCUUAGACGAGGAUAGAGACAAACCAAGAGAGAUGUCUUGGUGACCUUAACCAGAGCAACUUUAGUGGAACUGAAAAGAUACAAAUCCAAUUGAAGGGACUGAGAAGAAAAUGGAAGAUGAGAAAAUGGAGAUAGCAAUACAGAUAAUUCUUUGGAGAAUUUUAUCAGGCAACAGGAGUGGAGAGAUUAGGUGUUAAAUGGAGAAAGACAUGGGGCCAAGGGAGGUUUGUUGUUUUAAGUUGAAAGAUACUAGAACAUGUUUGUUUCCUAACAAACAAAAUGUCAUGAAUGAUGGGAGAAAUUGAGAUGCUAGAGAGGGAGGGGAUAGUCACAGGAGUCAGUCCUUGCGAGGGUGAGAAGGAGCAGGAUGCAGGGCACAGUUGGAGGGGCUAGCCUGGGAUAGGGACAGGGGUACAUCACCCGUAAUAGUAACGGGGUAGGCCGCCAGUGGGUACUAGAUGACAUUCCCUCUCUGCCUAUGUGUCUCAGAAGAGAGGAGAGACAUACCAGGCCUAAAUGGAGCCAUCAGAUUCCCUUUCCCUGGAAUCUGGACAAGGGAUUAAUGACAGAGGUUCAACUGCAAAUGUCUCGAAUGGUGAUUUGAACCCGGGAGCCAAGGAGUGGCCACUUUCUAUGUUCCACGUGUUUAAGGAAGUGGAGAGAGCAUGAAGCAAGUGCUUUAGAGAUGAGAAAUGAGAGAGGUUUCUAGUGACUUUGAGAAUCCAGAGUGGAGGACAGAGUGUUAUCUAUGAUAGGAGCACUGCCUGAUUGAUCAUGCAGUUAGCCUCAGUCCAGAUACCCCCGAAGGCACCCUUGAUUUAAGCCAGCCUUCCGCAGAGAGCUACUCUGCCACGUGACUCAGGCCCUUUUCUACAACUGUACCAUGGAUUUUGUAAAAAAAUGUUCCUUCCAGUGCCGUUCCACUAGAGGAAAAACUGAAUGCAACAAAAUGUGAAGCCAUAAGAGACAAUUAAGAUAAAUGUGAUCUAGUUCUUCAAUGAAUAGUGUCUAGCCAUUCAAAUUGAUUAUUAGGAAGACUAGAUAGAAACAUAAAGCAAAAUAGGACACUGAUUUUAAUGCACAUUAUUAUGGCAUUGCAAAAAAAUGCAUUUGAGAAAGAUGGGGAAAAAUACACCAAAAUGGUAAUAGUAGUAAUGUGUUAGGUUAAUGGGAUCAUGUGUGGUUUUCCCUAAUUUUGUCUAUUUUAUUUCUAAAAUGUGGCUAUUUUAUGUAGACUAUUUAAAAAACCUCUUCCUCCUAAAGCUUACACCUGAGCAGUUUGGAUAGUUUCUGGGUUGCCCUGGAGUCAUCACAGAUCAUAUGCCUAAAAGAAAGGAAGGAGUCAGCUCAAGAAUUGGGAACAGAGAAGGCUGUUGGAGGCAGUGGUUGUUCACAUCAAAGGGGACGCCUACCUGCUGGCUGGGCGCAUGAAUUACAGUCUCUCAAUAGAACCAAAGAGGAGAACUGGGUGACCACUUAAGCACAAUCAGAUCUUGCAGCCUGUUCCCAUUGCGGAAAUACUGCCAUGCAACAGCUAUGAAAUGGAUGAAAAGGCUAGGCCAUGGCCUGCCAAUGAGCACAGGUGGUCGGCUCCCGGCCAGGCACUGCCCUCCCUCGGCUCCUCCUGGUCCAUUGGCUGGAGCACCUCGCCCUUCCUCAACAACUCUCCUCCUGAAAGCUCCCAAGGUUUCAUUAGGAACCACACUACUCGCUGACCCUGAACUUCAUCUUUGCUAAGUGCCUCCAAAUUAUCUUAACGAAUAUUCCCCUCCACCCUGCGAGAGGUCAGCUCUGGGCCGUCCUGUGACUCUUCUUUCCAGGUGAGGUACAACAGGUCACUAAGUGCCUUGCUCCAAGACUGCCUAGGAGAAGACCUGGAACAAGAACUUUGUGUUCCUGGGUUCAGGACGUUCUUAGCUCUCUGAGCCUGGCCAAUGCUUCAGGCCAGUGGGAACUGAGAAGAGGGAGUGGUGAAUGGGGAAUGAGGACUUGUGCUCCCAGCUCUGCCCUGAGUGAGCAACCAUGCGCCCAUGUACCCGCUCACUCUCUGAGCUUCCUAUUGUUAGACAUCCAUCAAGCCAUACAUAUUCCUUCAGCUUAAUCUCCCAGCCUGUACCAACAGAGGCCAUGGAAGAAUGGACUGCUACGGGUUUAAGUUCAUCAAAGUGAUGGGACACCCACCCCAGAGGCUAAAAUAUGAAUUCGCUAUUGGCCCUGUGCUCAUGGAUAGUAAUUAGCUAAGGCAGAUAGAGGCGUGUUGGCAAUAAGUUCUCCCCAGAGGGCAAAGGAAUGUGAGAAAAAUGUGAGGGGAGAUGCCCACUCAUACAGGACCAGAGCUAGUUAUCAAAGAAACGGAAAUUACUUACUUUAUAGUAAAUAUUAAUAUUUAAUGAGUGGCUACUACAUGCAGGCCCUGUGCUAGGUGGUAUGCAAAGCUGGAACAGUCAGAUGGUCCACGAUUCAGCUACCCACUGUCAGGGACCACCAGGGAUGCUGGCCAGGUGGGCUGAUGUCCUGGUGUAGUCCCGGGGAGGGUUUGGACUAGACUGGGUGGUUCCCUGACAAGUCCAGGUACAGGCAGAAGGCAGGUGCAGAAUUUGUGUCCAUGGAAGUGUUCCCGGGGUCACACACACUAGUGGGUAUAUGGCAGAGAAGCCAAAGGAGUUAGCUCGGCCUCAUUACCUCCAGCUCACCCUUCAGUUUUCUGCUUCAACGCCAUUUCCUCCUCGAAGCCACCCCUGACUCCCAGGACUGUACAUUCCCCUGUUACAUACUCAGACUGUAAUUGUAGCAUUCAUGAGUGUGAGUGUUUGAUUAAUGGCUGCUUUCCAUAAAAAUAAGGAUGGGAGUCUCUUUAUGGUCACCAUUGUACCCUCAGCCUGGCUCUAGUAGGUUCUUUAUAAAUAUUUAGUGAGCCAAUGUCCUUCAUAACACUCACCACAUGAUAAGGAUGUAAGUGCUUAGGGGAUUAUUUCUCGACUGUCUUCUUCAAUGCUAAACUUUCAGUCCCAAGCACACAGGAAUCUCCUUUAUCUUGCUCUCCAUCACAUAUAUCCCCAGCAUCAGCACAAUGCCUGCACAUGGUGGCACCCAAUAUUAGUGGCAGGAAUAGAUAAUAAAUGAAUAAACAAACGUGAAUAAAGUUCCGCAGAUCUAGAAACGGGUGGGAAAAGGAAGACAACACUGAGAGGAUAGGAGUCAAAUAUGCCCAAGAACGGAGCCAGAUGUGCGGAAAGUGAGACAGUCUAGAAUUUGUGACUGAGUGGGCGUGGGCAGAUGCUCCUUUCCAGGUGCUGACGGGGUGGUGUGUGUGGUUAAGGGAACAGGGAAGGCAGGCUGCCAGAUUCAAGAUGAUCACCAAGUCCCAGGGCCUCUUUACCCUAGAGGAAAAGCUAAGCCACUCAUUUCCCACCCUGCAAAGUGUAAAGCUGGCAUCCUUUCCUUUUGAGAUGAAGGCUUGACCUCCUGAAAGGUCUGGGGAACAGGGAGAUAUGGUUUAGCACCUGCAAGAUCAGGUUCUACAUAUGAGAGUGGACCUAGCCUCUUGGCUGGGUGCUUCAGGGCAUCUUGCUGAAUCCUUCAAUCACCAAGGCCUGACUAUGUUAUGUUGUUAGCUUCAUAUCUGGUUGGUAGAGACCUGAGCAUGCAUCAUUCUAGCUUCUGCUGGGACUUCCAAUUCUUCUUCUUCCCAGGCAUGAGUGCAGAAGGGCUCAGGGAAGGUAGCAGAAAGGUGAGUGAGCCUGUGAUCCACAACACGGUUACUAUGGAAGGAUGUGGGCCACCUGAAAAGCUGCCCGAGGCAUCUCUUAGCUCCCUCUUUGCCGCAGUCUCUCUCUCUCUGGAUCACCAGUCAUACUUGCGAGAGUUGGCUGCUAAGGCAAAGACUCUCCUGGAAGUUAAGAAACUGCAGAGAUAGUGUGAGGAUUCAGGAAGUAUAAACCAAGUUCCAGAUGGGAAUUGCUGGAACAGUCUUUUCUUUCCGGUCCACCUCCUCCUCCCUCCACUACCAUCUUAAAACCUGUUCUUAGGGGCUGUUUUUCAUAAAAUUCCUUCUUAUCCCAACUUCUGCUUCUGACUUUCCUGGUCACCAAAAAGGCAAAGGAGAGCAGUGAAUUUUUAAAGCAGCUGCCCAGUCCCCACCCCAACACAUGCGUGCACACACACAGAGACACACGUAUACAUGCACACACACCCCUAGAAAACCCUUUUCCAUUUUUAGCAGAUAAAAAGUGAAAGGAGAAUGCAGGCUGUUGUGAUGACCUGUCUCAUUGCCUGGUCGAUCCAGUUGGGCAUUUGGGGUGGGGACUGAUAGACUUUAAAACAGUGCCUCAAAUUUUAAGCUGGCUGCACUGUGACUGACUCAAUCUUGCUGC
rnacentral:lncRNA from 1 species